UGGCUCAGAUUGAACGCUGGCGGCAGGCCUAACACAUGCAAGUCGAGCGGUAACAUUUCUAGCUUGCUAGAAGAUGACGAGCGGCGGACGGGUGAGUAAUGCUUGGGAACGUGCCGUAAGGUGGGGGACAACCAUUGGAAACGAUGGCUAAUACCGCAUAAUGUCUACGGACCAAAGGGGGCUUCGGCUCUCGCCUUAUGAUCGGCCCAAGUGGGAUUAGCUAGUUGGUAAGGUAAUGGCUUACCAAGGCGACGAUCCCUAGCUGGUUUGAGAGGAUGAUCAGCCACACUGGAACUGAGACACGGUCCAGACUCCUACGGGAGGCAGCAGUGGGGAAUAUUGCACAAUGGGCGCAAGCCUGAUGCAGCCAUGCCGCGUGUGUGAAGAAGGCCUUAGGGUUGUA
rnacentral:rRNA from 2 species